rnacentral:tRNA from 1 species
GGAGAGGUGCCAGAGUGGUUGAAUGGGGCGGUCUCGAAAACCGUUGAGCGGGCAACCGUUCCGAGGGUUCGAAUCCCUCUCUCUCCGCCA